CAUCUGCCCCUCGUUACUUAGCUUCAAGCAACUGGGGUCCUGCUGUCUUUCUUGUGGUGCUCAUGGAAUAACACAACCUAGACACCCUCAUCUCCCUUCUUCCUUGUCCCUCUCAUUUCUUCCCACUUUGUACUACUUUUCUGUGUCACUCUACUUUAUCUGCAUUUUCUGUAAAGCAGAAAUUAUACUCUGCUAAAAGACACUUUUUUAUUAUAAUUUCAUUCCGCUGUUAUUAAUACCUGAUUUGAUUUCAUUUGUUCCAUUUUACAGCUUGUCUCCUGCAAUUGCCUGGCUUUAGAAACAGUUUUAUCUGAGCAGCCCGUCUGGACAAAGAGGAUUUGAUUGCAUUUGUGAUUCAAAGAUUGUCUUGUCAGCAGAAGGAACACGUGGCUGUGGCACUCCAACUAUGCCUCCUGUGGGAAGUGUAAAUAUAGAAAGAUGACAACAUGUGCAUUAAUGCUCGUUAGAAUGUCAUCAUUAUAUUCUGCAAAGUGUCUGCUGAAGGGAUCCCUAAAGGACACUUAGAAAUGAAGCAGCUGCUCCGGAUUUGUUCCAGCUCACAUCUCGAAGAAAAUGACAUUGAGAUAAAUACAGCAUUGUGAGCGUCUUCUGAGCAGAAGGGGAGAAACGAGAGGGGAAGAUUUCCUUUUGUAACAGGCCCAAAGCAGGACUGCAGCGUACUCCAGACUUCCUCACCCUCUGCCUUUGUAACAUGAAUUGGGUGCUGCAGUGUUUGUGGUGGUACCGACGGGCCCACCCUUCUGGAUGGUGCAAGGGGGGUGCAGCUUCCCCAGGCAGCUCUCAUCCAGACCCUGAUGUGUGGAGGUUGGUGGGAGCUCAGGCACCGCAACCAGCCAGUCGCUGCUCUACAGCCAGGAAAGCUGAAGGGAGAGCUGCUUGAGCCCAGCACGUAUGGUUGUCUUUACAACAGCUUGAAUCCACGUGAGAGAGGCUUCUCCUACAGCCCGUUCUUGUCUGUCACACGUGAAUCAUGGUGUGCUCCUUGUCUUAAGAAGAUGGAUAAGGAGAAACCCAGAAAAAAUAAAAUGGUUUCUGUGAAAUACGUCUCUGACUUCAUUAUCUGUGGUCAUAAGCUUUUCUUCUGCUGUCAGAACUAAGGAGACAAUGGCGUGAAGCAGAACAUUAGUUGCAACAAAACAUUGUGCUCUAUUUCUUUCCAACCUUUUCAAGGUUUUGAAACUCCAGCCACAAAAGGCUCAAGCUUCACAUAUACGGAAAUGCUGUAAGACAACAGAGCCUUUGGGGAUUUCACAUUCUUUGGAAAAAAAUAUGAAAAUAAAAAUUUAAAAGAUAGCAUAUACGUGACCAAACUCUCAUACGUAUUUUAAGCCAGAUUGUCAUCUGGUGUGAACCAGAACAAUCUCACUGACUUCACUGGAGUAAGCAGAUUUUUACAACAAAACCUUUGAAACUACAAUACUUACAGAUGAGCCCCAAAUCCCCCAGAUCAUAGGAUGGUACCAUUUUGUACCCUGCCCUUGUCUGCAUGAUGCCAUGAGAAGGGAAUUCAGAGAGCGCUCUGCACGAUAAUCUCCCCCUCACGCCUGUUUGCAUUCACAGAGAAAGCCUUGAAAUAAAAAUGUACAGUCCCAAGGGCACUUACUGCAGAAAAGAGAAAGGUUAAGAACUGUGAUUGACCAUGAGAAGAUCCAGAGUCUUACAUUACCUAGAGACCUUGCUCGCUUUCUCUGUAUUAAUGCCCAGCAAAUAAAGAAAAAAACCAUUGUCUUCAAUUUCCCCAUCUCCUAAGAACCCGUAUCGUGUCAAGUAUCAUAUUCACAAAGCAGAGUUUUUCUAUUCAAAAAUAACAAAUAGAUCAUUUUC